UAGAGAAUCCCCGUUUUUUAUUUAUUUUAAGCAGAGGCUCAGUUCUUUCUUUCGAUAUAUUGCAUAUUCAGAUAUUCAUACAACAAAAUAUUCUGGGGGCCAUGAAAGUUUUAUUAAAAUGGCCAAAAAUGUUAUGCUGGUGGUGGCUGGCAACUAAAAAACGCUAAGGGGAAAGUUAAUGUUGACGCGACAUGUAGUGCUUUUGAGUGAGGGACUUUUAUUUUAAAAUCCAUGAUUGGAGAGACGUAUCCGGAAGUCAAACGCAGAAGUCAUGAUUCCUUAAAAUUGAGCAUUUCAUAUCAGUAACACUUACUUACAUUUUAUAAAUAACUAAGUGCUAACAGAUCUACUUUACAUGCAUAUUGCAUUUAAAAGAUUUUAAAUGUCUUAUUCUUGAAAGUAAAACUGGUUUGCAUGAACAACAAUUUACUGAAAUGUAAAAGUUUCCGUUAAUAGCAGAGCUGUGGGAGUAAAUAAACCGAUGGAGAAGCAGGAGGAUGAUGUGGAGGUGGUUCGUAAGAAGGAGUCGGAUGCAGCGGAGGCGAUGGCGGAGCCUCAGUCUCUCUCUUUCCCAGAGGUGUUCCGCAUGAUUCAAGCAGGGGAGGAGGUUCCUGGACUCCAAAAGCUGGACGUCAAACCUUGUCAUGAUCAGCCCACGGUUUCUCAGAUGCCCAGAAAGUCAAAACCAUGGGAAAAAUGACUCGUGUUUCCUAAUAAUAAAAUACGGACUGGUUUACAACACAUUUUGCUUGUAUGCAAACGUAGUUAAGAUUUUGUUUUGUUUUUUUUGCAUUAUAUGACUUUAAUACAUGGCACAUGCAUAGCACACAUCAAUGUAAAAUAAAGCGUGUUUAAAGAAACGA